GGGGAUAUAGCUCAAUUGGUAGAGUGCUUGCCUUGCAUGCACGAGGUCCUGGAUUCAAACCCCAGAACCACA
rnacentral:tRNA from 1 species